GAGGUGAUUUGACAGGGAAAUAAGACAGACACAGAUUUUUUAAAAGUAACAUCCAUACUGAUAAAAUAUUUUCUAGUUGGAGGAUAAUAACAUUUAUAACCCUUUUGAGUACCAGAAUAACCUAUAGACACACAAUUAAGAGCUCUAAGUUCUAACUUUCCAACACUUGUUUUGUGGACAAAACAUAUACAUCCCAAAAUUUUUGGAGGAACAGUAUAAAAAUUAUGGCCUU
rnacentral:misc_RNA from 1 species